rnacentral:rRNA from 1 species
ACAUGCCUACAACAUAGAUUUAAUUCAUCAGAUCCCAUUAGAACUUCGCAGUUAAGAGUGCUCGGGAUAGAGUAGUACUGGGAUGGGUGACCACCCGAUAAAUCAUAGUGUUUUACAUGCC